rnacentral:rRNA from 1 species
UGAAUACAUAGGUUAACGAGGCGAACCGGGGGAACUGAAACAUCUAAGUACCCCGAGGAAAAGAAAUCAACCGAGAUUCCCCCAGUAGCGGCGAGCGAACGGGGAGCAGCCCAGAGUCUGAAUCAGCUUGUGUGUUAGUGGAACGGUCUGGAAAGUCCGACGGUACAGGGUGAUAGUCCCGUACACCAAAAUGCACAGGUUGUGAACUCGAAGAGUAGGGCGGGACACGUGGUAUCCUGUCUGAAUAUGGGGGGACCAUCCUCCAAGGCUAAAUACUCCUGACUGACCGAUAGUGAACCAGUACCGUGAGGGAAAGGCGAAAAGAACCCCGGCGAGGGGAGUGAAAAAGAACCUGAAACCGUGUACGUACAAGCAGUGGGAGCACCUUCGGGUGUGACUGCGUACCUUUUGUAUAAUGGGUCAGCGACUUAUAUUCUGUAGCAAGGUUAACCGUAUAGGGGAGCCGCAGGGAAACCGAGUCUUAACUGGGCGUUAAGUUGCAGGGUAUAGACCCGAAACCCGGUGAUCUAGCCAUGGGCAGGUUGAAGGUUGGGUAACACUAACUGGAGGACCGAACCGACUAAUGUUGAAAAAUUAGCGGAUGACUUGUGGCUGGGGGUGAAAGGCCAAUCAAACCGGGAGAUAGCUGGUUCUCCCCGAAAGCUAUUUAGGUAGCGCCUCGUGAACUCAUCUUCGGGGGUAGAGCACUGUUUCGGCUAGGGGGUCAUCCCGACUUACCAACCCGAUGCAAACUACGAAUACCGAAGAAUGUUAUCACGGGAGACACACGGCGGGUGCUAACGUCCGUCGUGAAGAGGGAAACAACCCAGACCGCCAGCUAAGGUCCCAAAGUCAUGGUUAAGUGGGAAACGAUGUGGGAAGGCACAGACAGCCAGGAUGUUGGCUUAGAAGCAGCCAUCAUUUAAAGAAAGCGUAAUAGCUCACUGGUCGAGUCGGCCUGCGCGGAAGAUGUAACGGGGCUAAACCAUGCACCGAAGCUGCGGCAGCGACACUAUGUGUUGUUGGGUAGGGGAGCGUUCUGUAAGCCUGCGAAGGUGUGCUGUGAGGCAUGCUGGAGGUAUCAGAAGUGCGAAUGCUGACAUAAGUAACGAUAAAGCGGGUGAAAAGCCCGCUCGCCGGAAGACCAAGGGUUCCUGUCCAACGUUAAUCGGGGCAGGGUGAGUCGACCCCUAAGGCGAGGCCGAAAGGCGUAGUCGAUGGGAAACAGGUUAAUAUUCCUGUACUUGGUGUUACUGCGAAGGGGGGACGGAGAAGGCUAUGUUAGCCGGGCGACGGUUGUCCCGGUUUAAGCAUGUAGGCUGAUUGUCCAGGCAAAUCCGGAUAAUCAAGGCUGAGGUGUGAUGACGAGGCACUACGGUGCUGAAGUAACAAAUGCCCUGCUUCCAGGAAAAGCCUCUAAGCAUCAGGUAACAUUAAAUCGUACCCCAAACCGACACAGGUGGUCAGGUAGAGAAUACCAAGGCGCUUGAGAGAACUCGGGUGAAGGAACUAGGCAAAAUGGUGCCGUAACUUCGGGAGAAGGCACGCUGGUGUGUAGGUGAAGUCCCUGCGGAUGGAGCUGAGACCAGUCGAAGAUACCAGCUGGCUGCAACUGUUUAUUAAAAACACAGCACUGUGCAAACACGAAAGUGGACGUAUACGGUGUGACGCCUGCCCGGUGCCGGAAGGUUAAUUGAUGGGGUUAUCCGUAAGGAGAAGCUCUUGAUCGAAGCCCCGGUAAACGGCGGCCGUAACUAUAACGGUCCUAAGGUAGCGAAAUUCCUUGUCGGGUAAGUUCCGACCUGCACGAAUGGCGUAAUGAUGGCCAGGCUGUCUCCACCCGAGACUCAGUGAAAUUGAACUCGCUGUGAAGAUGCAGUGUACCCGCGGCAAGACGGAAAGACCCCGUGAACCUUUACUAUAGCUUGACACUGAACAUUGAGCCUUGAUGUGUAGGAUAGGUGGGAGGCUUUGAAGCGUGGACGCCAGUCUGCGUGGAGCCAACCUUGAAAUACCACCCUUUAAUGUUUGAUGUUCUAACGUUGGCCCCUGACCGGGGUUGCGGACAGUGUCUGGUGGGUAGUUUGACUGGGGCGGUCUCCUCCCAAAGCGUAACGGAGGAGCACGAAGGUUAGCUAAUCCUGGUCGGACAUCAGGAGGUUAGUGCAAUGGCAUAAGCUAGCUUGACUGCGAGCGUGACGGCGCGAGCAGGUGCGAAAGCAGGUCAUAGUGAUCCGGUGGUUCUGAAUGGAAGGGCCAUCGCUCAACGGAUAAAAGGUACUCCGGGGAUAACAGGCUGAUACCGCCCAAGAGUUCAUAUCGACGGCGGUGUUUGGCACCUCGAUGUCGGCUCAUCACAUCCUGGGGCUGAAGUAGGUCCCAAGGGUAUGGCUGUUCGCCAUUUAAAGUGGUACGCGAGCUGGGUUUAGAACGUCGUGAGACAGUUCGGUCCCUAUCUGCCGUGGGCGCUGGAGAAUUGAGGGGGGCUGCUCCUAGUACGAGAGGACCGGAGUGGACGCAUCACUGGUGUUCGGGUUGUCAUGCCAAUGGCACUGCCCGGUAGCUAAAUGCGGAAGAGAUAAGUGCUGAAAGCAUCUAAGCACGAAACUUGCCCCGAGAUGAGUUCUCCCUGAGACUUUAAGUCUCCUGAAGGAACGUUAAAGACGAUGACGUUGAUAGGCCGGGUGUGUAAGCGCAGCGAUGCGUUGAGCUAACCGGUACUAAUGAACCGUGAGGCUUAACCUU